CCCCCCUCCCCCGGCGCCGGGAAUCCCUCCGCGCCGGCCCGGCCGGAUCUCGCCGCGGGGCGGGGAUGCCGCCGGAGCGCCGGCGGCGCGGCCGAAGGGAGGAAGAAAGGGAGGAUUGCUGCCGCUCCCGGGCCGCGGCCAUGCCGCCGCGCCGCGGAGCUCACCGGCCAGCGGGCCCAGAGCAGAGCGAGGACUAUUUCCCGGCGACGGCGGCGGCGCAGGGAUCCCGGCGGGCGGGUGUCGCGGCCCCUGUGGGGCCGGAGCCGGGGCGGGAGGAGCCGCGGCCGCGCAGGGCCCGGCCCGGGGCCGCGGAGCGGGACCGAGACCGGGCCCCGGCGGGGAAAGCCGGUGCUUAAAUUUUUGAAUUUAGAAAGAAAACCCGUACUGGUUUUCUUUCUAAAUUGAAAAAGUGAUAUAUUUAUUUACCUGUUAAGUGAAUUCCGGUGCGUUACCAGGUGCUGCGGUGUUGCCAUCCAGUUUGUCUCAAAUAUUCACGUUUUAUGAGGUAAAAAAGGGCUGAGAUGGGCUCCAGACCGAGUCUGAGUUGCAGUGUGACAGCAGUCUUGCUGCUUAAUCUGGAGAGGCAUUAUUAGUCUGGUUUGUUCUAUGGAAAUACAUUUAAUGUUCUUGCAGCUAUGUUUUAAUGUGUUAGAGGUAUUUUUAAUGAUGCAGUGUUGGUUUGUCAGUCUGAUUUUCGGAUGUAGGGAAAAAAGUAUGAACUUAAAUUGCUGUAUAUCAAGCUGAAGUCUCAUGUUCCAGCUAAGAGUGUCUGACACGAUCCAUUACCCUUUGUCACAUCUCAGCAAUUCUUCCCGAACUCUGCCCUGGUGGCUGUCUACCCCCAGCUGGUUGGCUGAUUGAUUGAUUAAUUGAUUGAAGAGUGCUAGCAGGAAUAGUGCAGCUUCUUUAUUACGCUGAGAUAAAGGGAAGAUGACUACUUGUGUCCAUACUUAAAGCUACUAAGUGCCUUAUAGUUGGAUUGUAUCAUGAUACUGUUAGCGAUGUUUGCUGUUUCUUCAUACUUGCCUUGAAAGCAGCCCAUUAUGGUCAAGUUAUCUACUUUUGAAAAGCCUUUGGUAUAUGUGUGCUUCCUAGAAUAUGUCAGGAAAAUACUGUCAAGAUGUUUCCUGCUUUGGGAAUUUUGUGUCUUUGAAGAACUGGUUUUGUGACGGCUUUUGGCCAACGGCUAUCAAAAAUGCAAGUAAACAAGCUGCAACUCCUUUAUGCUUGCUGUUUUUCAAGAGCUGGAGAGAAAGAUUAGUAAGGACAAGGUAGGAGCAGCGGUGGUUGACUGCCUGCAAGUGCCUCAACAAUUGAGGAUUCGCAGUCUCACAGUUUAAUGUACAUGAAAGAACUCACAAUAAGAAAAUGAAAUGCCACAACCACAGGAAAAUCUUGAACCAAUGUUUGUACUUUUAAGGCACAAAACUUAGGAAAUUUACAAGAAGCAGGAAAUCAUUAUGAAAACUUGCAGGAAAUUUGGAUUUGUUGUUUUAGUUCUAAGGCCAUCUAUUUGAGAAUUUUAUCUUCAUUUUCCACAGAUGUGAAAUUUGGGCACACAUGUGGCACUAUGACUGUAUUUGUCUAACAGUUCUAAACUACUGAUAAAAACUGCCAGAAGUUUUAGUAAGCUGUUACACCUUUCAGGAAUUUUAAGUUCGUACAAGUGUCAUGAAAGUAACCACCAGAAAGGAAGAAAGAUUCCUUGUAGCAUAGUUUGGAGGAGAAUUGUGAGAGGAGCUUGACCUUUUCUGUUUCUGUUAUUUGCGUGGCUGCUGAUGAAACUGCUUUUCAGAUAUUACAAUAAAGGGGCAUAGGUUCACUUAGUUAAGCACUAAGAUAUUAGCAGAUGCAUGUAAUGAUUUUUUCCCCCCAUGCAAUCUGGAAGUUGGCUUGCUUUGGGCUGUUUCUUCUCUUGGAUUCUUGUCUUAACCUUCUCUUGUCUUCUAUUUUAAUUUUUUUUAUUUGGUUGUUUUUUUAUCCCUCUCUCCACAGAUCCUCUGUCACGUUCAGUAUAUGGGUGCUUCUGGAUUAGAUGUGACUUGAUAAUCAAGUAGUUGUUUGUGACAUUGGUCCUGCAUUUGUUAUAGAAACGAUGCCUAAGGAGUUAUUUUAGACUAACAUUAGCUAACUAACUAACUAACAUGUAGAAUCACAGCAUGGAUUGGGUUGGAAGGGACCUUAAAGAUCAUCUAGUUCCAAACCCUUGCCAAGGGCAGGGAUGCCACUUCAUUAGAUCAGGUUUCUCAGAGCCCCAUCCAGCCUGGCCUUGGACACUUCCAGGGAUGGGGCAUCCACAACUUCUCCUUGCUUUAUGUUGUCUCCUUUCCUCUGUAUGUCCUUCCUUGUCCGUAUCCUUGUUUGUAGUUUUUGUUUCCGGACAUAAUCCCUAGAGGACAGCAAAGUAACCAGUGCGUUCAGAAGGUGCAGAUUGGGCCAGGCUAAAGAUUCUCAUUAUGAGCCUGUCAGUUUGACAUUCCUGCAGAUUAUGCCUUUCUUCUUAAAGUUUGUUUCCCAAAUCAUAGUUUCAGGGGGAAGGUUUGUGUUUGAGCAGGACGGCAGGGAUCCUUGGGGUACAAAGUGGAUUGCAACAGAGAGGAAGGGAAUUAGGGAAUGGACAAGUUGCAGACAAGGAAGGUGAAGCAGUUGCUUCUUCCCUUUUAGUGAAGGGGAAAAAAGUAGAAACACAAGCUCAAAAGGAAACAACUUUCCCUAUCCGUUAAUUAACUCAGCUUAAAACCUACACAGCUUCUGAGGAUGCUCCACACAGGGUUGAGACCUCUUGCAAGUUUUGUUGGUGUGGGUUCUUGGAAUUCAUUUCAAACCAGACUCUGGAGUGUGGACUUCUGCAUAUUAUUACCUUACAGUGAGGGUUAAUGACAGCAUUAACUGUUGAGUGGUGAGCUAGGGGAAAGUAAAGACUGUUUAUUCAGAAGAAACUAAAUUCUUAAAAUGAUGUUUUAACAUGCCUAUAUUACUAUGGAAUAAUAUAGAAUGGAAAUUACCUCUAAAAUUGAAUCCAACCAUUAACGCAGCACUGCCAAGUCUACCACUAAACCACAUCCCUAAGUCUCAAAUCCAUGCUUCUUUUAAAUACUGCCUGGGAUGGUGACUCCACUACUUCCUUGAGCAGCCUGUUGCAAUGCUUGACAAGUCUCUCUGUGAAGAAAGUUUUCCAAAUAUCUAAUCUAAACCUCUCCUGGUGCAACUUGAGGCUGUUUCUUCUCAUCCUGUUAUUACCUGUGAGAAGAGACCAUUCCCCACCUUGCUACAGCCUCCUUUCAGGCAGUGUAGACAGCCAUGAAUAUUCCCCUCAGCCUCCUUUCCAGGCUAAACAGCCCCAGCCCACUCAGCUGCUCCUCAUAAAAUUUGUGCACCAGACCUUUCACCAGCUUUAUUGCUCUUUGGAUGCUCUUCAGCACCUGUUAUAUGUUAUGCCCAUCUCAACUAUAAAUUCCUAACUCAUUAAAUUCUAGGUCAGGGAAAGUAUUGCAGAUCACAUAUUUGUCCUUUUUAUCUUAUGGUGACAGUUUCAUGCUUUCAGUUUUUUUGGAAAGAGCAUUUUGACAGUUUCCUGUCUUGGGAAUGUUGCCUUACACCAUUUAAAAGCUGUGUCUUUAAAUAUUUUUAGAAACAGGUCAACAGAUUUGUGAUGCUUCUUCAGAAAAAUUAUAGAUGGAUGAUGUGUAUUGUGUGAAACCCAAAGAAGAUAGGACGACCAUGGAAACCUUUUGGCAAUAUCCAGCCUGGAAACUUGUGCUUUAAUGUGAAGGUUUAUAAUUGUUCCACAAAGAAAAGUAAGCUCUUUGUCGUCAUAAACACAUUAAGAAAAGCAUGCCUGGGAUCAAGGUAAUUUCAGAUAAAUUACACUGCUUGGAGUCUGUUCACGCCUCUGCUGGAAAAUAUAUAGGUGUCAUCCAUCAACUCCUGUGUUUCUUUUAUAUUAAACACAACUAGGCCUGCUGGGUGGUAAGUGGGAGGCUUGGAGUGGAUAGGGUGAGAUUUAUUAGUUCUUUUACACUGAUGGUUGUUGCUGUGUUUCAUUCAACAUUCUUGAAAUUUUCAAGGACUUCACAUUUUAGUGCAACCAGUGGAAGAUGGUGGCUUCUCUACAGCUCUAGAAAAUCAGGCCUUCAGUCUCAAGCUAGCAUUCAUUAGGAUUUUUGAAUACUAGUCUUAAUGUUUUAAGACAGAAAUUAGAAAAAUUUGUUCUAUAACUGGCCAUUAAAAUGAAACAGCAAAGCAUUUCCUGCCUUUCUACUGUUAAUAUCCCCAACUGAGAUUUUUUUUCUUUGUUUUCUCUCUUUUUGUAGUGCUGUUUUCCAGUUAAAGGUUUCAAGAGUUAUCUCCUUUCCAGAUCUGAAUGGGAUUCUUCUGCAUCAGAACAGUUGGUAACUUAUUCUUGUGAGAUGAAGAAAGUCAUGUUGCAGUUCCUUUGAGAAGUUUAAGGACUUCAUCUAUUUAAAUGCAUGUCACCAGGAGGGACAGCUGUUCCUGCUCAGCCCUUUCAGUAUCAUUGUUUUAUUUCUCUUCAGUUAAUCUAAAUAUCUGGUGAGCUGUACUGUUUGCAAAGAGUAAAGAGGUUCUGUGUCUGGUUGAUUAUGAUGACACACACUGUGGGAAAAGCUGAGUGUAGCUAACUUCAUCUUGUGUUGCAUAGGCAGCUGAGGACAAGAGGCCAUUUCAGAAAGUCAGUCUACAGAUAUUAUUUAAGCACUUAUUUUUUGCAUACCCUUUGUAAAGGAAAUUUUGGUAAUAGCUGGCUGUUUGUCUUUGAAUCAGAGCGCUGACAUUCAGUCUUGUCAGUGAAAAUUCUCAGACUGUGUAUGAAGAUCUUAUGUAUGUGGCUGAAAUGGUAGCACCUCUGUACAAAUGAUUUGGGUUUAGGGCCAGUUGUUUCCCACAAGGGAAAAAAGAUAUUGUAAUUGUUUUGGUAAACCAGUGUGCUUUUACUUUGUCCUCUUUCACUUCUGCAGACAGUUACCUGAACUACUUUUCAUAGGACUGUUCAGCAGAAAGCAGAAGUCACCUAAUUGAUACUUAAAGCUGUUGGACCUCUGUAAGAAAUGUAGUUUGGUUCUCCUGUGCAGUGUUUACAUUUUUGUGUGUUUGUUGUGGUUUGGGAGGGGUUUGUUUUUCUAAAUGCAAAGCAAGUGCUUUGCUUCCAUGCAGUUGGAGAAACUGUGCUAAACUUAUACUUUACUCUUUCUUGUCAGGUUUUCUGUCGCUGUGCUAACUUGGAGAGAUGACCAUUUGCUGUGAGUUGAUGAUGUUUAUGCUCUCUCUUAUGGAUCUCUCCUCCUUUUCCUUCUAUGAAGCAGGAAGGAACACACUGUGCAAGAUUUUCUCCUUGCAGUUAAUAGUACCAAGCACUAAUUUUGUUGAGAAAAAUGAUAUUUAAAACAUUCUAGAAUAAAAAAGGAGAAUGCUCUGCUAUGUUACCAUUGUUGUGUGUCUAAUCCUGAAAAAGAGAGAACUUUGCCCCAAACACCUUACAGUUUGUUUGGGAUCCAGCCAGUCUAUGUAAUUGGAAAUUGAAUUUCCAAUUAGGAAAGGAAAAUAAAGGGAGAAUAAAGGAAACAUCAGUAAUAUGUUGGACAAAUUAUGUAAAAUUACUGUAACCCUCUACUGCCUAUCCAUUUAAGAUGCAGUGUUAUUGCAGGAGUAAUCUUGAGGGAUCUGAAAGAACCAAAUGAUAAGAACUUCACUUGAGGAAGAUGAUAUAUUUUUACACCUGGAAAAAAGGCGUAAGGAGUGGUGUAGUAACCAGUAGUGGCAGCUUUUUUUGCUGUAUGUCUUAGGCCUUGUACUGUCAGAACAAUUUAUUCAAUAGCAUACUGGUACAUUCUGCUACAUUUUGUCCUCCAUAGCUUAUCCUACCUGGCUUCAUGUGGUUUAAGGGUGGGGGAAGAAGACAAGUAAAAAGUCUUAAGACCAAAAGAAGGUCCCUGAUGUAUUGCAAGAGUUUGUAUUUCUGCUUUCUAUCUUGUUGUUUCUGUAGAAAAGUAUACACUGUUUCUUAGACAUCCCUGUGUUACGGAGCUGUGCUGGAUUUUGAAGGUCAGUGUGGCUGGACUGUGUAGAUAUCAAAACAUUACUGCUAUUUAAGAGUCAUGUCUUUUUCCGCUGUAACUACUGUUUGGCUCACGUAAUGAUCCACAGUUCAGAUAUACAAUUUAGGAAAGAUCAGCAAGAGGUUCCAUUUUGAGAAUUUCUCUAAGACAGAGUUGCAAGCAACAAAAAUAUAAUAAUUAAUUAUUUUUUUCUCAUAUAAGUAAUAUUAUUUUUCUACAUGGAAAUUGUUAUACUGUUUCACUGCAAUUUCCUAGGAUACAAAUGGUUCUCUUAGAAGUAUCCUGAUAAAAAAAAAACAGCAGCUCAACAACAAACAAAUCAAUAUGGCUGUAUCUGCCUAUUCAAAUUGUAUUGUACAGUGUUUCCAGGAAUGAUGUUCUCUCUUCUCCUGUCUGAGGCAGAUAAUGGCUACAUAAAUAUAAAACUGAAAUCCACAAUUUUGCAUGUGAGGGUGUGGAUCAGUACAUAAAGGGUCAAUCUACAGUAGCAAGAUUGUCCUUGGAAAGAAUGAACUGUUCUCAAAAUUUCUGCUGAAGUAUUUGUUAAACUGAGAGGAAAAACAAAAGGUCAUGCCUACACAACUUCAGGGUGAGAAGGUUGGAUACCACUAGGACGUUGCUAUUGUUGGUUUCCACACAGUUUUUAGAAAAACACCCACUCAACUUCACUCUCAGCAAGUGCUUUAAAUUCUCUUAUUGCUGAAGAUGAUGUUUUUACUUCUUCUUACAUAGUUCACUAUCUUCUAUCUAAAUUACAUCCCUUUUAGUGAAGGUGGCUUUUGUCCUCAGUUAAAUUAAACUAAUUAAAGCCUGAAAAAUAUUUUAGUCUGGGAGCCUGUUAUGAGGUCCAUUUGUGUUAGAUACAUAUUGUUCUAAAAACCCAAAGAAAUUACCCAGGUUUCGGAGUUACACUCUGAGCCCACUGCCAGAGAUCCCUGAUCCUUAUGGAUGCUGGAGAACUGGGCAAGGGCAUUUUUGAUAUGUGAUGUUCUGCUGGUUUGUUGUGUAAACCUACACUUCUAACAAGUGGCUCCCACCCCAUCCACUGUUCCCUAAAUUCACCUUCCCAUGUGCUACAUGCUGUAUUUCAGUUUGGUAGCUGCAGAUAGAUCUGGAUAGUCUAAAAGGAUGUCCUGAUACUUCUCUGUACUGUGUGACUUUACAUAGAGGUUUUGUGUUAAUUAACGGUAGCAGUCUUUGCUUCACAAUAAUAGAUGGAAGCAAAUAAAAAAAAAAAAGAAUCCUCUUCUACUUGUAAAAAAAUUAACCAAAAUUAGAAAAGACAAACCUCCCCUCCACCAAGUAUGCAAGUGUUUAUGAAAAUCAGUAGUUCAUAUGUUACUAGGUAUGAAUAUGAGUCCAGUACUGAUAAAGACCAUAGAAAAAACUGCUUUUAAAAGAUGAUAAAAUUUAGAAAAGUAGUAAUUUUUUUCUCAGUGCAAUUGCUGAAGAUAACACUAAGACACUAGUUAGAGUGAGAAAUUUUGUUACCACUUUAUUUAAAUUUUAAAUUUAAAAAAGGCAGUACUAUGCUAGUUACAAAACCCUUCCUUCCCUCCCUGCCAGAUUUGUGCUCCUCAGUUGUUUGGCUAGUUUUGCCUUUCCCCUCCACUGUCAAAGAAUGCAACAAAGUUUUGUCUACACAGAAAGCAGUAAUGCAUGUAAGUAAUGCAGCCUGUUGACAUUAGUAAAUGGGAAAUAGGUGAUGAAUGCUAAACUCAGGAAAAAUAUGAAAUAAAGUUACAAAAAUUUAGUCUGCUUUUUUCCCUUCCAUGUUCUAGGUUUUUGUUUUGUUUUUUUUUUUUUUUUUUUUUUGGAGGUGAGGUUGAUUUCUGGCUGUUGAUAAACCUUCCAUAACUGAAAAUGUACAAGGAACUGGUAUGCUAAAGUCUUAAGGUAAGAAACUUUAGAGUAUGUGACUUCAAAACUGGAAUUCUGAGUAUAUGUAAGGCAAAACCUAUAAAAUACAAGCUCUGUGCAAGAAAUUUAUUCACUGUGCUGAGGAUAGUUUUAUGCUGGGUACUCUUUAAGGUGUGUUUCUUGGAGAGGCUGCUUGGAAAGAAGCCUUAGCAGUGCCUUUACCACUGUCAGCCUCACAGGUAGGAUGCUUUUGUCCAGAAAACAAACAAGGAGGCUUUUAAGACUGUUAGGCUUUUUAAAUUUACUAAAGAGUUUAGGUUAUGUUAUAAUCUGGGAAGUCUGACUCAGUGUUAUUUGGAAAUUUUUUGUAUCAUUACGUUCUUGGAAAAAAACUAUAUAGUGGAAUACAAAGGCAAAAAAAAAAAAAAGAGGACCUGCUAGCUAACACAAGCAUAUUCCUUACUAUGGGUUAUUUUUUCUGAAUCUUGGCCUAAACCAUCUUAUUUUCAGUUUUAUUUUUUUGAACAGUAUAUAAUGAAAACAUAGGAUUAAAAGUGGAUUUAAAAUAUUUUUUAUAUUAGAGACUACUAGACAACAGUUAAGAGAUAAAGAUGCAAUUAGUAUCAAUACAGUAAUUCAGCCUGCAGAACUCCUUGCUACUUUACCAAAAGCAAUCACCCAGAACUAUGGGUUUCUAGAUUUACUGUGGACAGGGCAUACAAAUAAAAUUAUUUGUUACAAUUACUUAGCAGGGCCCUGCAUUCUGCUAGAAUUCAAGCAAGCUGCAUCCGAACUGCUUAAUCUUGCCUUGUUUUAUACUGGUCGAGAGACACAGGAAAAAUGAGGCCAGUGAAAUGCACAAUAGAUGUGUUAAUAAAAGAAACCCCACCAAACCUGGAAUCAAAGAAACUAUGGGUAUUUUCUUUCCCUUCUCUGAGUAACAACACCAGCAGGUCACUGCCUCUGCUCUGAGACAGGGAGAGACUGUGGCCGUGUCAGGACAGGGUUGAGCCAAGAGGAUUGAGUGGACACAAGUGCAACGAGGGGAAGGGUGAUAGUAACUGUUGUCCCAAAAAAGAUAUGUGGUGACUUUAUGUUAAAAUAAAACUAGGAUUUUUUUUUCCCCUCCCUAACUCUGGAAAUCCAGGAUGCUUCCUCCUGUUGAAAUAAAUGGAGAUGGACAUGCUGUCCAAAUGGGGAAAAUUUUUCUAUGUCCUUUUGAGGUGUUCUUUAAGAAGGUACAGUUCCUCCCUGUUAGCCCACACUCCAAAUGUUAGAUGUAUAAAUAAAAACUGUACUCCCUCAUCAGUUUUAUUUUGAGAUUUUUUUUCUUCCUUUCAGAACAUUGGAUUUUUUUUAGUUAUUUUUCCAUAAUUGUGAGCCAUAAAAAGUGUGGAGGAAAUUUAGUAAUUCCAAAACUAGAAAAGUAUCAAUAUUUAUUGUUUGACAAAUUUGUUAUGGCUGCUUGGAAAUACUAACAUACUUCAGUUCCUAGAUCUACAGUCUGCUGUGCAACUGGAUAUUUCUUUGAGUUUAUUUCAGACCCUAGAAAUGAUUGGACCUUUAGGAACCUCAGGCUGAACUUGAUGAGUGUCUCAAGAUAGUGCAGAAAUAAAUUGAACAAUUUCAGUAAGAUGCACAGAUAUCUUCUCAAAUUCUUUCCUUUUGAUGGACACAUGUGCUUGUUAAACUCCUGACUUGCCUUAGUUUUAAGGAUUUUGUUUCUCAUUGCUCUUCCCACAAGAUAACAAACAAGGGUAAUCACAAGCAAGUAAGUAUUCAUUACUACUUGACAGAAAGCCUUUGCCUGCAUUGCUUUGCAGGUAAGAAGUUGUACAAUAAUGACUACUUUGUUGAUUUGAAUGUAAAAAUAAAAAAAGUUAUAAUUGUUUCUCCAUCUUA